UUUUAUAAAAUCAUAUCAAAUAAUUAUUUCUUAAGAGAUCGUAAUCUACUAUUUUAUAAUUAAUAUGCAUUUAUUUUUUUGUAGAUCUGAGUCAAAAAUUAUCGCAGUUCUCAAUAUCUAAUGAAGCAAGUAGCCAAUCAUCAAAUCAAUCUGAAAAACGACUUUUGUCAGAUUACGAAGAUGAACUUCCACAAGCUAAAAGGAAACGUAAGGUUGAUGUUAUGACGGAAGUUCUAGUAGCAGUACUGGGUCGCACUAAAACCAGUAAUCAAAGUGUAAUGCAUAUUAUUUCUGCUGUCAUUACUAGUCUUGGAUUAGAUAUUGACAAUUAUAAUAUCAGUUACACGACUAUUCGCAAUGCUCGAUUAAAAUUCAGAAAAACAGUUGCUGGGAAUUUGAAAGACGAGAUAGAAGAAAUUGCACAAAAUGUCAUCGUACACUGGGACAGUAAGUUACUUCCGGAACUUUCAAAUCAGCCAAUGAAAAAAAUCGAAAGACUUCCUAUUGUUGUUUCCGGAAUGGAUGUGGAACAAUGACUCGGUGUACCUGCUUUAGAUGAAUCUACUGAUCUAAUGAAGCUGAAGUUAUUUUUAAAGCGUUAAAUAAGUGGAAUAUUACUGACAAUAUAGUAGGGAUGUGCUUUGACACUACUAGUUUAAAUGCUGACACAAUAUUUAUUAUUAAUGGUUCAACAAUGUAGAAGACUUUCCAACGUGCGCCAAAAAACUAUAUUCAGCUUUAAAAUCUUGAUGUGUUUUCAAUAACAUUAGUAAUUAUUUGAAAUUUAUUAACUUGUUUUUUA